rnacentral:rRNA from 1 species
UACGUAGGGGGCAAGCGUUGUCCGGAAUCAUUGGGCGUAAAGCGCGUGUAGGCGGCUCGAUAAGUCUGCUGUGAAAGUCCAGGGCUCAACCCUGGGAUGCCGGUGGAUACUGUCGAGCUCGAGUCCGGAAGAGGAGUGUGGAAUUCCUGGUGUAGCGGUGAAAUGCGCAGAUAUCAGGAGGAACACCAAUGGCGAAGGCAGCACUCUGGGACGUGACUGACGCUGAGGCGCGACAGCGUGGGGAGCAAACAGG